rnacentral:rRNA from 1 species
CCCUUAGAUGUUCUGGGCAGCACGCGCGCUACAAUGGUCUUCGCAAACGGAUGCAUUCUCGAAGGAGAAUGCCAAUCUUGGAAUCUAUGCCUUGGUCGGGACAGUUGCUUGCAAUUUUUCGACUCGAACCAGGAAUUCCUUGUAAUCGUGAUUCAUCACAUCACGAUGAAUACGUCCCUGCCCUUUGUACACACCGCCCGUCGCUCCUACCGAUUGAAUGAUCCGAUGAAUAUCAUGGAUUGAGGAUGCAAGUAGGUUCACCUAUCUUCAUCUUCGAGAAGUGAAGUAAAUCUUAUCAUUUAGAGGAAGGAGAAGUCGUAACA